GCAGAAAAAUCCCUGAAAAUCCAAAUCCCUGACAUUUCAACCCGAACUCAUCUGCUCCUCAGCAGAGCUUCAGCAGUGACAAAUUAAAUACUCAUGGACAGUCAGGCCACUGGGGACUGAGGUGAGGACAAAACAUUCUGAAGGCAGCAACAGAGACAUCUUGUACAGGCCACUGGAAAUGACAAAUGCAGCUCCCAGGAUGGUUUCAGGACCUUGGGUCAGGUCCCUGUUCCCAAUCCAUCAGAGAUGGGUUUCAUGGAGCCACAGAGUGGUUGGGUUUGGGGUGGAGGGGCCUUAAAGAAGAUCCAUUUCCACCCCCUUGCCACAGGCAGGGACAUCUUCCACUAGACUUUAACCCCAGAAAUACAGAGGGUGACUUUUUUUAUGCUGAUGCAAAGCCAAAGCUGGGACCAGGCACAGAGGUGGAAGUGAGAUCUACAACUGCCUGCAGGAUUAUUUCAUUAUUACAUUUUUAUUUUUUUAUGAUGGUAUUAUUACCUCUGAGAACAAGAAAAGAACAUCAGGCUGAUGAUGCUGUCCCAGAGCUCUGCCCCUCAAGACAAGGAGCUAGGAAUGACCAGGAUACAUUCCUUUCUGCUCACCAUUUUUCCAUAGAUUAAAGGAAUAACCAGCUUGCACC